rnacentral:rRNA from 1 species
AGCGAACGCUGGCGGCAGGCCUAACACAUGCAAGUCGAGCGCCGUAGUAAUACGGAGCGGCAGACGGGAGGGUAACACGUGGGAACGUGCCCUUCAGUUCGGAAUAACCCAGGGAAACUUGGGCUAAUACCGGAUACGUCCGUAAGGAGAAAGAUUUAUCGCUGAAGGAUCGGCCCGCGUCUGAUUAGCUAGUUGGUGAG